AGACAGCAGUAGCCACGGUAAUACGUAGGUGGCGAGCGUUGUCCGGAAUCAUUGGGCGUAAAGGGAGCGCAGGCGGGCAUGUAAGUCUUUCUUAAAAGUUCGGGGCUCAACCCCGUGAUGGGAAAGAAACUACAUGUCUUGAGUACAGGAGAGGAAAGCGGAAUUCCCAGUGUAGCGGUGAAAUGCGUAGAUAUUGGGAGGAACACCAGUGGCGAAGGCGGCUUUCUGGACUGCAACUGACGCUGAGGCUCGAAAGCCAGGGGAGCGAACGGGAUUAGAUACCCCCGUAGUCCCUGUCUCUUAUACA
rnacentral:rRNA from 1 species